rnacentral:lncRNA from 1 species
GUCAGUGGGACACACAUACAGCAUAAUAGAAAAGUUAUGCAGCAUGUUAACUUCGUUUUUUAUGGUGACAUUGUUUCUGCAAUUUUGUGGUGCAUGCAUAUUUUGUUCAUGUUUCUGGCUUGAGAAAUUCCAGUGAUGCUAAGUCAGAUAAAUUGUACUUACGAAAUUAAGACAUCUUACUGGAAUAAAGAACAAUAGAUGUACGUGUAUAGAUCUAUAUCUUGCCCAACUCUAGUUAAGGUAGUGAUAUUGCUGUUCAUAAAUCGCAUUAAUGUAUAAAUAUUUGCCUCUAGAGCUGUGUUCCACAUGACUGUUUUAUCUGCAAAAAUACUUUUUGUUUUUCACUCCUGCCUACCUAAAGAGUUUGAGUUCUGGCUGGAUGAGUAUAUUAGAAAAUCAUAAAAAGAGAAGAGAGCUGAUGUGCAGCUGCUUUCCAUGCAGUAGUUUAAGAGUCAUUCAGCAGGCAGCAAAACAAUUUCAGCUGUAUUAAGCAGACAGUCUGUCAGAGUCUGCUGGUAUGGAUUCCAGCUAAUUCUGCGCCCCAGGUUCACUAAAUCUGCUGAGCACUGUCUGAAUAACCUGGCAAUACAUGCUGUGAAUUUUCCAACACAGGAGAGUCUGUGAAACACCACCUCCUGUACAAAUCCAGUCAAUUCUCUGAAACAAGCUGUGGACACAAUUAUAACAUCACAGUACUAUACAACUGCCUUACUGGGUUUUGCUCAAUUAAUUAUGUCUUAACAGAUAAAUCAAAUUGUAUUUAUGCCAUCCUUUCCAGGGUGAAACAGGAUUUGCUGGUUUUCCUGGACAACCUGGCUAUCCAGGCAUACAGGGGGAUCCAGGAGAGAAAGGGCCCCCAGGUCCUCCUGGAGCUGUUGGAACUCCACUGCCUCCUGUAAAAGGCCCACGAGGAGAUCCUGGAUUUCCAGGUCCUGUUGGUGAAAUGGGGUCAGUUGGACCAAUUGGUCCUUCAGGCCUUGUAGGAAGACCAGGAUAUGAUGGAACAAGUAAGAGAAAUAGAGGAGAAGUGUGAACUACACACCAGAAUGAAAGAAAACAGCUGAAAGAAAACUGUUCUUUAUUCUUGCUUGAUGCAAGUUACCAACUGUAAAGACUGUUCAGUAAAAAUAUUAAUUCAGCACUUAAUAGCCAGAAAAAGAAACAAAAUGAUCCAAGCAGGACAUUAGGAAUGACUAGAAAAAGAAGACCAAGGAGAAUACUACCAUGGUAAACUCCUAGUAUAACUGUGUCUGGAGUGCCGUGCUUAAAAUUUCUGCUCUCCAUCUCAAAAAGAUAUGAAGGGAUGUGCUGGGGAUGGCUUUGGUCUUUAUAAGGAGCUGGAGUAACUGGGAUGUCUGGAAAAGAGAUAAUGAAGGGAAGGAGGAAAAGAAGCAUUUGAAGAUCUACAGCAGGAACCUCUUUUCUUGUGGAUCCUGAAAAACCUAAGGAUUUGGAUUCAGGCAUUAGUUAUAUAGAAGCUGUUUUUCAGGACAGUCCUGGAUGGUCUGGAAUUCCCUCCUUGAUAUCUCACAUUAAUGCUGUUUGAGCUGUUUCCCUUUCUUUUUCUUUUUUUUUUUUUCAGGUCUUCCUGGCCUGCCAGGAGUAAGUGGGGAACCAGGACCUCAAGGUUUUCAAGGGGACCCUGGUUUGCCUGGAAUAGGUGAAUUAAUCCCAGGAAGACCAGGAUUUCCUGGACCACCAGGCCUACCAGGGCAGCCAGGAAGACAAGGCUUACCUGGACUACCCAGUAGGUUCAAUUUAUAUAACAGAAACAGACUUCUGCAGAUUAAUAGAUCCAUUGCUUUUGUUGGUGCUACAAAUGCAGAGAAGUGAAAAGUGUAUUUUGACAGCUAUUUCAAAGUUUACAUGAGAUGCUGAAAAGAUAGUUUUCCUAUUAGCUUU